AGAGUUUGAUCCUGGCUCAGAUUGAACGCUGGCGGCAUGCCUAACACAUGCAAGUCGAACGAGGGUGAGGGGGCAACUCCUUACCUUAGUGGCGGACGGGUGAGGAAUGCGUAGGAAUCUACCUUAAAGUGGGGGAUAACUCGGGGAAACUCGAGCUAAUACCGCAUAUGCUCUACGGAGUAAAGGGGGCGAAAGCUCUC
rnacentral:rRNA from 1 species